rnacentral:lncRNA from 1 species
CCAUGUUUUGAGAAUGAUUAAGUCUCAUUUUUCACAAAACACUUUUCACUCUCAAAACUUCUUUCCCUCAAACUUAGGAAAAACUUUAAUUUCUUAGCUUUUUGGAGAUUGUUCAUGAUUUAGGAAUUUCAACUAACAUUGAAUUUUGAGUGCAAAUUACUAGGUGAAAAUUGUGGAUCUCAAUCAAGCAAUAAGGGUGAAGCAAAAAGAGGCGUGGAUCUUCUUCUUAAUUAAGGACUGAUUAAAUUCAUGUAUAUGUACUAUUCCUAUUAGAUAUAAAAACUUAUGCUUUGUUAUGAAUAAUUUGGUGGAUGUCCAUUAAGCAUUGGCCCAUUCCACUGGCCCAUUAUAUUGUCCUAUAAAUAUGACUUGUAUUGUCAUGUAAACACACACCUUGAUGAGAAUAAUACAAUCUCUAUUCUUUCUCUCUU